GACGAACGCUGGCGGCGUGCUUAACACAUGCAAGUCGAACGAAGUAGCGAACGGGUGUGUAAUACGUAGGUCACCUGCCCUCCGUUUUGGGAUAAGCAAUGGAAACGGGGUCUACUACAGAUUAUAUGGGGAUGUGCGCGCGGCCUGUCAGCUGGUUGGUGGGGUACUGGCCUACCAAGUCGGUGACGGGUCGCCGGCCUGAGAGGGGGACCGGGCACAUUGGGACUGAGAUACGGCCCAGAGUCGUACGGGAUGGGGAAGUUUGGGAUAUUGGACAAUGGGCGAAGGCCUGAUGCAGCGUCGCCGCAUGGGGGAUGAAGGUUGUCGGGUUGUAUACCUCUUGCGCUAUCGAACGGGUAGGUGGAGAAGAAGCGCCGGCUAACUCCGUGCCAGCAGCCGCGGUAAUUC
rnacentral:rRNA from 1 species